CAAUAGCGUAUAUUAAAGCUGUUGCGGUUAAAAAGCUCGUAGUUGGAUUUCUGUCAAGGACAACUGGUCCGCCCUCCGGGUGAGCACAUAGUUUGGUCUUGGCAUCUUGCUGGAAGCUGUUGCUGCACUUGGCUGUGUGGCGCAGCGUCCAGCGCUUUCACUUUGAGGAAAUUGGAGUGUUUCAAGCAGGCACAUGCCUUUGGACACAGUAGCAUGGAAUAAUUAGAUUGGGCUUUUGCUCCAAUUUGUCGGUUUCUGGAGCUGAGGUGAGAAUUAAUGGGGAUUGUUGGGGGCAUCCGAAUUUAGCCGUCAGAGGUGAAAUUCUUGGAUCUGCUAAAGACGGACAACUGCGAAAGCGUUUGCCCAGGAUGUUUUCAUUGA
rnacentral:rRNA from 1 species